rnacentral:lncRNA from 1 species
ACGUCUACAGAGAGCCUGCCUAGAGUCUGGAUUUUUUAAGCUGCUGGAUACCAGGUGCUACCUGACACCAGCUCAUCCCCUGCCUCUAGAGUCCUGGAGGGCUUUGAGUUGAUCACUUUCCACUCCAGGAAUGUUAUAAGAAACCGCUCAGAAAGAGCCACCAUCACCAUCACUGAUGUCACCUUUGAAUGCAAGGGACACUAUAUUUCUUCAACUUCAGGCAAUCACAGUUGUCCUGAAGUAGGUCACCAUUUACGUGGACAGCACCCAGAACUCCUCGAUAGUGGGGUCUCUUUACUUAAAAAUAAAGAUCAAGAAUUUAUAGUAUUUCAGGAUUGAAAGGAAUCUUGCAGAUUAUUCUCACCAAUUGAUUCAGUUACAAAUAAAGAACACUGACAAUGACCCAUAACGACUAUUCUAUCACAUUUUGUCUCCAUUUUCUCACUGAUGGCCUGAGAGGUAAGCAUUGACAUUAUAUCCACUUUGCACAUGAAGAAAUUACGCCCAAAGAUAUGCUAGCUUGCCUGAUAUCCAGUAAUGAGUUAAUGGCAGCCUGGGGUUUUCAAACCUAACUCUUCUUCUUCUUAUCUUAGAGUUGGGGU